ensembl:lncRNA
GCAAAGAUUAAGUGUGUGUAAUGUGCCAGUAUUAAAAUCCAUGCUAAACUGAUCAUUAUUUUCAUGAUAUAGCUAAUAUAAAAUGCUAACAAUUAAAAUCAAUUGCUAUGUGAAUGUAGGUGUCACACCAUUAUAAAGUACAGUAUGAAAAUGAAUAUAUAUUUUGAAAAUAAAUAAAUUUUUAAAAUAUAAUGAAAAAUUUGCUAAAAAUUACAUUUAUUAUUAAACUUGGAUGAUGGCAAUGAUGAUUAAAAUGUGAAAAUAUGUAGAAAUUGUAAUGUACAAUCAAAGUGAAGUGAAUCAAAGUCACCUGAAAAUUUUAAUUGUCAUUGUUUGCUCACCCUCAUGUUGUUCCAAACCUGUAUGACUGACUUUCUACUGUGGAACACAAAUUAAGAUAUUUUAAAAACUACAUUAGUAUAUACAGUCAGUGGGGGUCAGUGAGGACCAAAACAACACUGCCUUUCAUUAUAUAUGUUACCACUACGUUUCAUGAGUCGAAUGUGUUUUUGUGCUCAAAUGUUAUUGAGGUGAAAUUGUCUUCAAUUCCAUGAAUUCCCACACUGAUGUCACUGAAUGAUUUCCACUAAUUUAUUCUCCACUCGCAUACAGUGUUUAGGGAGCCAAUCUCAGUGUCUGUUUGUGUGUCAGAGUCACACUCUCAAAAGAAUUAAAAAGGGGUUCUCAGGAAUUGGACAGAUUAUCACAUACUGAGAAUGCAUCUAAUCUAAAGGGAUUUCUUUUCAUUAAUACUGUGCUGCUCUUUUUGUUCCUCUUAUCUCACAUACUCUGGCCCACACACGAACAAGCGUACUAAACAGUUAACUCAAAUAAAGAUUAAUCCAUGUGAUUAAUGUUUAAACUGUAUGAGGCAGGGCCAGAUCCUCACCCUGGACUGACUCAGUGACCACAGUCUCGCCCCGGAAAAAAGACAUGAACCAACAGGAGUCUAAACGCAAGAAUGAAUUUAGUCACCGCAAGUGCCAGUACCUGGUUGAGCUCCCAGGUGGCAGUAUUGUGCCUUAACGCUGACACCUGUCACACAAGAAGAAGAGCAGCACUUGCAGCUACUGUUCAUCAGAGAGCUUCAAAGAAGACGGAGAAAGCCAGAGUCUUGUGCCCUGCGUUUAUUAGUAUCCUUAUGUUCGUUGGGUGAAAAAGAAAAACCUGAUAAACAAAGUAAAAAAUAAUUUGACUGAUAUCUUCCCCCCCACAAGGUUUCUAUAGAUAUCACAAUAUAUCAAAAUCGUGAAUUCUUAUGGCCACAAUAACCGUGAUAUGAAAAAUCUAAUAUCGUGACAGCCCUAGUUCAAAAGAACAGCAUUUAUUUGAAAUUGAAAUCUUUUGUAAGAUUAUAAAUGUCUUUACUGUCAUUUUUGAUCAAUUUAAUUCAUCCUUGCUCAAUAAAAGUAUUAAUUUCUUUUUUUAUAUAUAUAUUUCUGACCUGAAGGGUUUGAACAGUAGUGUAUGUGAAACAUUCAUCCCAAUUAUGCUGACAGUUGAAAGAGAUACAAGAGAUGAAAAAGAGCUAGGAAGAGAGAAAUAAAAUCAGGAGAAGUGAAAAUGAAAGGGGUCUCAAAAACACAUUACGUAAAUCAGCAGUCAACUAAGCUGGAUUACAUGAUGCUCUCAUAUUCACAUUGCUACAUGUGUGAAGCUAUUCAGCCUUCGUCCUGCUUUUAAAAAAUAUCAUACACUCACAAACACACACAGCACAGAAGACCACCUGACCACUACAGUCACCUUCAAAUUAGAGCGUACCGACUAAGAGCUACUCUGAAGGUCUCUGAAAAUUGUUGGUUUCUGGGAAAAACAAUGUGUGACGUGAUCCUUCACUUUUAUUAGUCCCUUGCAACCCUUCACAAAUGCACACACAGGUUUAUAGGUUGCUGUUUUCACAGACAGGUGGUGAUUUGAGUGCAUGUGAGUGUGUUUUGCACAGUCGGGGACAAUUUUGCUGCUGACCGUGUUUGUGUGAAUUGCUUGAAGGCAAAGUGGAUGGUUAACUGGUGUAGUAGCAGUGAUUUUCAGGACACUAACAGGUGGUUUGGCUGACCACCCCAUCACACACACUCUCUCUCCCGCAGAGAGGGACAGAAAGUGGUCUUAUAGCAGUUUGUCAGCCUGGGUAUUUAAUCCAGUACAAAAAGCUGUGUGUACAGUGACAGCAUGUCACAGCUGCUUACACACACACACACACACACACACACACACACACACAUGAGCCUGAUGUGCACAGCCAGAUUUAUCAGAAUCAGAAUCAGAAUCAGAAAGAGCUUUAUUGCCAAGUAUGCUUGCGCAUACAAGGAAUUUGUUUUAGUGACAUAAGCUUCCAGUACACAAAAGACAACAACACACAGUCAAAAAAAUAAAAAAUAAAAACCCUUUGCAGAUAAAUAAGUGUAUAAACAAUUGUGCUAUAAAUGAUAAUGGAAUUGGAUUGAGUAAGAUGCAGGGAUGUACUAGGAUGAAGGGGUAACAAAUAAAUAUAAGGAUAUUGCACAUUUUUAUUGUAUAAGUGGGGAACAUUUAACUGUUCAUGAGGUAGAUUGCCUGGGGGAAGAAACUGUUCUUGUGCCUGACUGUCCUGGUAUUUGCAGCUCUGAAGCGCCGGCCAGAUGGCAAGAGUUCAAAGAUGGGGUAACUUGGGUGUGAGGGAUCCAGAGUGAUUUUCUGAGCCCUUUUCCUCACUCUGGAUGUAUACAGUUCUUGAAGGGUGGGCAGGGGAGUACCAAUAAUCCUUUCAGCAGUCCGAACCGUUCUCUGUAGUCUUCUGAUGUCUGAUUUUGUAGCUGAACCAAACCACACAGUUAUUGAAGUGCACAGGACAGACUCAAUGACGGCUGAGUAGAACUGUUUCAGCAGCUCCUGUGGCAGGUUAAACUUCCUCAGCUGGCGAAGGAAGUACAGCCUUUGUUGGGCCUUUUUUUAACAAUGGAGUCAAUGUGAUUGUCCCACUUCAGGUCCUGAGAGAUGGUGGUUCCCAGGAAUCUGAAUGACUCCACUGCAGCCACAGUGCUGUUCAUGAUGGUGAGUGGGGGAGUGCAGGGGGUUUCUUCUGAAGUCCACGAUCAUCUCCACUGUUUUUGAGCGUGUUCAGCUCCAGGUUGUUAAGACUGCACCAGACAGCCAGCUGCUCAACCUCUUGUCUGUAAGCAGACUCGUCACCGUCCUGGAUGAGACCGAUGAGUGUGGUGUCGUCUGCAAACUUCAGGAGCUUGACAAAGGGGUCUUUUGAGGUGCAGUCGUUGGUGUACAGCGAGAAGAGCAGGGGGGAGAGAACACAUCCCUGAGGGGCACCAGUGUUGGUGGAGCAGCUGUUGGACAUGAAUUUCCCCAGUCUCACUAGCUGUUGCCUAUCUGUCAGAAAGCUGGUGAUCCACUGACAGAUAGAACUAGGAACAGAGAGCUGGGUCAGUUUGGUCUGGAGGACUGUUGGGAUGAUGGUGUUGAAAGCCGAACUGAAGUCCACAAACAGGAUCCUCACAUAAGUCCCUGUUUUGUCCAGAUGUUGCAGGAUGAAGUGCAAUCCCAUGUUGAUUGCAUCAUCCACAGACCUGUUUGCUCGGUAAGCAAACUGCAGGGGGUCCAGUAAGGGUCCAGUGAUGUCCUUCAGAUAAGCCAGAACCAGUUUUUCAAACGAAAAACUGAGAAAGAAAGAAAGGGUUUAUUUUAUGGUCCUUGAAAAAACAUGUUAAUAACCGCUAUGAAAUUCAGGUAUUAAAUCUGUAACUCUGACACAGUUUUGUAUGUCCCUUUAAAAAAGUACUGUAUUGGAACUUGGAAGACCCUUUUCACUUUGGAGCUUUGUGUAAUUUGUAAUGAAAACUGUGUUCACUAAACCAGGAUUCAUCAAGUGCGUUUUUUUGUGUAACUUAAUAAAGUUUUCAUUUUAAAAUUAUUUAAAAU